rnacentral:lncRNA from 1 species
UGAGCCCGCAGGAGUGAUUGUCUGCAUAGGAUGCUAGGUUGCUCUAUUCCGCAAGCCCCAGGGACCACAGCAGCACCCGGCUUCCGUCACAGCUAGGUGCUGGGAUGUGCCAGGCUGGCCCACGGCACCAGAACCAGGCCCAGACUUGCUGUACUCAUUCCUUCCUGUUUUGGGGUUUGGUGGGUUUCCAAGUGCUUCUGUGGGGGCCACCAGAUUUGGGCAUCUUUUAAGCACCCCAAGAGAGGGUUCCACGAGAGGGUUUUCUGAUUUCCCCUCUACUGGUGAGGAAAGUGAGGUAGGGAAAGGCCAAGAGCGCUGGCCAAGGUCACAGGACUGGCUAGCCGGUCGCAGAGUCAAGGCUCACGCCCCGGUUCUCAUGCUGGGACGUGCCCCAGGCCACUGCGCAGGCUCAGGUCCCAAAGCAAACACCUGGGGCUCUUCGCAUCUCUUGCAUAUAUAGUCCUUUUCCAGUAAAUCAGCAUGGGCGACUUUUCCCCCAAGAGGUUUGUUUUCCAGGUACAAUAUAAGCUCAAGAAAACGGACCCAACAAUUAUGCAACAUAAUUAUGUCAUAACAACUUCAUUGCACAUAAUGCUUUAAAGUAGGUUUGGAUGAAGUUCUCAAUCACUUUGGUAUAUGUUGUUCAGGGACUUCUACUAGAAAUACAGAAAUUCUAAGUCCCCUCAAUCCCCAUUCUUUGAUAAAAUGGACAAGUCUUUGGUUAAAGUUCUACAUUUUGGGCAUUUAUUAUCGAUUACGAUGGUCCCCAAACCACCAAUAAAUGGUGAUGUACUAUUAGUUCA